AACCAGCUUCGCCGACGAGAGAGGAAUGGUCGACGACGCAGCGACGGAAAGAGAGAAUAUUCGUGGUAAAGGGAAUAGGGAUGGCAGCGGGUCCAGGACCCUACCCGGAUCCUGUCAGACCCUACCCUAAAAUUAGGGAUCUUGAUGAUGAAGUAGAUGAUGAUAUGGACGAUAACUAUUACUAAAGUACUGAAUGAAUGCCUAUUUAUUAACAUUAAUGUUGUGUAUUUAAGAAUGUGGGAUUUUGUAAUUUAUGAGCUUCGUACUUUAAAAUGUAUUGUGUUUAAGGAAAGACAAGGAUAAUUUUUGAAGA